UGGUUAUUUACAGUGAUGGGGUACUUCCAUAAAUGCCAAAAGUAGAUCAUCUUGUAACUGCUUUGGAACUUUUAGAGUAGUAGUUGGCAAGCAUGCGAUUGGACAUAACCAUUAGGAUAGAGUUUAAUUUGCAUCAUAUUCUAAUCAAUAAGCUCUUACUUAAAUGACAAGCAAACUAGAGAGCAAUUCACGUGCUUCAGUUUUCACACUUUGGGUACGUGCUUUUCUUG
rnacentral:misc_RNA from 1 species